rnacentral:ncRNA from 16 species
GUCCGCGUGUUCCAAUCCGGCUGAUAAGCAGUCAACUUCAGGGAAAGCCGGUCGAAGUCCGGCGCUGACCCGCAACCGUAGGCCCGGCGGCAGCCGGGUGAGCCGGAAUGCCUGAGGUGGCAGAUUCCAG